UGAGCAACCUGCCCUUGACCCUGGAAUAACAGCUGGAAACAGCUGCUAAUACCGGAUACGACCUCCGAUGGCAUCAUCUGGAGGUGGAAAGCUCCGACGGUCAAGGAUGGGCUCGCGGCCUAUCAGCUAGUUGGUGAGGUAACGGCUCACCAAGGCUUCGACGGGUAGCCGGCCUGAGAGGGCGACCGGCCACACGUGGGACUGAGAUACGGCCAAGACUCCGUAGGGA
rnacentral:rRNA from 1 species